rnacentral:rRNA from 1 species
AUUGAACGCUGGCGGCAUGCUUUACACAUGCAAGUCGGACGGCAGCACAGAGAAGCUUGCUUCUUGGGUGGCGAGUGGCGAACGGGUGAGUAACAUAUCGGAACGUACCGAGUAAUGGGGGAUAACUAAUCGAAAGAUUAGCUAAUACCGCAUAUUCUCUGAGGAGGAAAGCAGGGGACCCUCGGGCCUUGCGUUAUUUGAGCGGCCGAUAUCUGAUUAGCUAGUUGGUGGGGUAAAGGCCUACCAAGGCGACGAUCAGUAGCGGGUCUGAGAGGAUGAUCCGCCACACUGGGACUGAGACACGGCCCAGACUCCUACGGGAGGCAGCAGUGGGGAAUUUUGGACAAUGGGCGCAAGCCUGAUCCAGCCAUGCCGCGUGUCUGAAGAAGGCCUUCGGGUUGUAAAGGACUUUUGUCGGGGAAGAAAAGGACAGGGUUAAUACCCCUGUCUGAUGACGUACCUGA